GUUGCGGCCGCGCGUCCGGCCUCGGGGCCAGCGGAGCCGAGUGGUCAAAUGCAGCGCCAACCCCAUCUUCAACGAGGACUUCUUCUUUGAUGGGCUCGGUCCACCAGACCUGGCCACUCGCAGUCUGAGGGCCAAGGUGCUGGACAGGGGCGCGGGGUUCCGCAGGGACGUGCUGCUGGGGGAGUGUGAGACGCCCCUUAUUGCCUUGCUGCCUCCCUUGGGUGGUGGGCUAGGUCCCGGGACCUCCCUGGCACCUGCCCAUCUCAGCCUUUAGCCUGAGAGACUGUCUCGCCCACUGGAUCUUCCCAUCUGCGGGGCAUGUAUUUAUUUUUGCUAAUAAAAUGCUCGUUUGUCUCUAGCGGGAUCUCUCCCCUUAUUGGCAUAUCCUGGGCUUUUAGAACUGCAGCCUAUGCUCCCUCUGCCCUGGCCAUACAAGGGACACUGACACUAGUUCUGUAGGUCUGGGCUGGACGGGUCCUAGGUUCCCUGUUCAGCAAGGCCCCUGCCCCUUUAGGGGGCCGUCCAAUUACUGAGUCACUCCAGAAAAAAGCUCUGUGGCUGAAACCAUCAUAAGCCACCUUCCCCUGGGGUUCCUUGGGGCUGCACAAGGGGAAGCCAGCACUCCCCACCCAUCUACCGCACCACUUCGGCCCACAUCUGUUCUGAAGAGAGACGAAACUUCUGCACCUUGGGAGUGAGUCAGGAGAUGUCAGACUAGCACACCACGCCUUUGGGUGUUCUCUCUCUUGCCUUCUGCACCUGUGCCACUCUGAGGGGUAAGGCUGGAGCCAAGAGCCAGACCAAUCUCAAUGUCCCAGGGACUAAGGGCUUGGGAGAGGAGAGCGUCCCUCUGAACUGCGCGUGCUGUUCUCAGGGAUGCCCGGAAAGGGCUACCGGGUGAGUAGGAGGAGAAUGUGGAAGAUGGAUAAAUGUAGGUCACAUCGUGUUUACCACCUACCUGAAUGUCCCUGACGUCAGCAGUGACCUUCUUCUCACUCACCUCACCUUCCCUGGAGCUGGUUCCUCUUGG
rnacentral:lncRNA from 1 species